AGAGUUUGAUCCUGGCUCAGAACGAACGUUGGCGGCGUGGAUUAGGCAUGCAAGUCGAACGAAUCCCUUGGGGGUAACUCUGAGGGGGAAGUGGCGAAAGGGGCAGUAAUGUAUGGGUAACCUACCCUGGGGUUGGGCAUAGCCGUUCUAACGAGCGGGUAAUUCCCAGCGAUUUGGCGAGCCGGCAUCGGUUUGCCAGGAAAGAAUUUCGCCUCGGGAGGGGCUCAUAUGAUAUUAGCUAGUUGGUGAGGUAACGGCUCACCAAGGCGAAGAUGUCUAGCGGGUGUGAGAGCACGACCCGCGCCACUGGCACUGAGACACUGGCCAGACACCUACGGGUGGCUGCAGUCGAGGAUCUUCGGCAAUGGGCGAAAGCCUGACGCAGCGACGCCGCGUGGGGGAUGAAGGUCUUCGGAUUGUAAACCCCUUUCGGCAGGGAAGAUGGAAUGGGUAACCAUUCGGACGGUACCUGCAGAAGCAGCCACGGCUAACUUCGUGCCAGCAGCCGCGGUAAU
rnacentral:rRNA from 1 species